GGCAACGGUGGCUAGUGGAUCCUAGGAGGUUAUCAUCCCUAAAUGCCAUCACAAAAAGAAUCCAACCCUACUUAUUAUGGUGUUCGCAGGACGAGUCCAAGGCAUAUUGCUGACUGAAGCAAAGGACAAGACAGUAUCCCCUCUCCAUUCCAUUUACAGAAUCUGACUGAACUGACAACAUAAGAAUGUUGUUGCUAUGUGCCAUCAAGUCAUCCAUGAAGUAACCAUCAUGAGUUAUGCUGUCUGCAAUUUGCGGGAAAUGUCUCUGUACAAAACUAGUGUCUUUCCCUUUGAAAGGCAAAGCACACCCAUGAAGCACAGAAAUACUGACUGAUUGACCAAAAUCAUGGAAAAUGAAAAGAGAAAGAAAGGGACGACAGAC